CCUACGGGUGGCAGCAGUGAGGAAUAUUGGUCAAUGGGCGAGAGCCUGAACCAGCCAAGUCGCGUGAGGGAGUACUGCCCUAUGGGUUGUAAACCUCUUUUGUCGGGGAGCAAAAGCCGGACGUGUCCGGCUGUGAGAGUACCCGCAGAAAAAGCAUCGGCUAACUCCGUGCCAGCAGCCGCGGUAAUACGGAGGAUUCGAGCGUUAUCCGGAUUUAGUGGGUUUAAAGGGUGCGCAGGCGGAUUUUUAAGUCAGCGGGCAAAUCGUGGGGCACAACCCGAUCCAGCGGUUGAAACUGGGGAUCUAGAGUGUGCGAGAGGUAUGCGGAAUGCGUGGUGUAGCGGUGAAAUGCAUAGAUAUCACGCAGAACCCCGAUUGCGAAGGCAGCAUGCCGGUGCACAACUGACGCUGAGGCACGAAAGCGUGGGUAUCGAACAGGAUUAGAUACCCCGGUAGUC
rnacentral:rRNA from 1 species